CCUGGACCAGCUCCUGGAAGAGGAACACGGCCUGGGGUCUGGGCCGCCGCUUGCCGUCGUCUCGGCUGCCGCUGCCGGGCAGUUAAGGGGGCGCUGGUGGGGGCGCGCUGCUCGGGGAGCCGGCGGGUGACGCCUGGGCUGUGCGGCUGGGGAGGCGCCCAGGGAGGGGUGCGGAGGAACGAGUGAGGAAAGGAAGCUGCAUGAAGGAAAAUGGCGCAGUAAAUAAUGAGAAAGCAUGAGCCUAUGAAUCUAACCUCAUCUAUGAUGGUCUGCAGCUGGGAGCAACCAGAUCAGUGUCAGUCCCUUUGCAGCCAUUGGCUGGGAGCCUGCGUGUUACCUGGAAUGGUACUUGAAACAUGUCACCCUAGCUGUACCUUCACUGUGGGCUGGGAGGCGAGUCAGUCAGGAUCUGCAUUAUGGAAUGUUUGGAUGACAAGCUUGUAUUUGCAAAAGUACACACCCUGUGGGAGGUGCUCUGUACAUAUGCUGAGAUACUGCACAUAAAGUUGCCUCUGAAGCCCAAUGAUCUGAAAACCCGGUCCUCAGCCUUUGAUAAUUUCAGCUGUUUUAUGAAAGUCCUCCAUGUGGAUGAAAGUAUCAUCAAGCCGGAGCAAGAGUUUUUCAUUGCCCUAUUUGAGAAGAGCUGCGUGAAUGACUUUUAUAUUCAGGAUAGAGAUACAUUCUUCAAUCCAGCCACUAGAAGCUGCAUUGUAAGUCUAAACCGAGUUUAGCUGCUGUCUUGGGGGUGAUUUAGUACCUGCUGUUGAAUUAUCAGUGAUUUGGCUUGGUUGCUUUGGUUUGGUUUUUAAAAGCUGCCUAUAAAAAGGAAAAAAAGGGAAAGAAAAGAAAUAUGCCUACAGAUUCCUGUUAGGAUAGUAAACGGUGGCUGGUUGGUUACCCUGUAUAAACCACACACUCUCUUAAAAUCUUUUUAGGUUUACUUCAUCCUUUCUCAGAUCAAGUAUCAAGUAAGGGAUAGUGUUAAAAAAAAUUUUCGGGAUUAACAGGCUUGUGAGCUCUGGGAUCUGCAAGGCAGCUUUCCUUCCCCAUUGUGUAAGUCAAAUGGCAGAAAUGAAAUAAAGCACCUCAUAUAUCCUCCGGUGUUAACAGGAAAAGGCUAAUAUUCUUGACCUUGUUUCUUCCUGGGUAAAAUGAAGACAAUAUGUCAGGAGGCGAGACGCUCACUUAGGGCAAGAACCAUGUUCUUUUGUUCACUGCUGAAUCCUAGGCACUGGGAAGGCUGAGUUUAACGAGUGAAUGAAUGAACUGUAGUUCCCCCAGAGUUACCAUGUGGGGCAGUGCGGAUUAGCAGCUAAGAGCAUAGACUCGAGAAGGGAGGGUACAGCUCAAGUGAUGGGGUGCAUCCUUAGCACGCAUAAGGUCCUGGGUUCAGCCCCCAACACCUCCUCUAAAAUAAACCAAAAACCCUAAUUACCUCCCCACCCCCCACCAGAAUUACCUUAUUAUCUCCCCACCACCAAAAAAAAAAAAAGAGAAGUGGCCAUGAGCGAAGACUCAGGCUGGAACACCUGUGCAGGUUUCUCGCUGUCGACCUUGUAAAAGUCAUUUAGCCUCUGUGUUUAUCAAGUUCCUCAUCAAUAAAAUGGGGAUAAUAAUAGUACCCACCUCGUAGAGUUGCUAUGGGGAUUAAUGAAUCUGUGUCAAUGUUAGAACAGCCCUGGCUAAUAGUAAGUACUAUGCAUCUGUCAGCUCUUUUCAUAAUUAUUGACAGAUGUUAUUAUCAACCAAAGAAGUAUUAGUUCUUUGUAAGGGAAAUGCAUGUUAGAUCAUUUCAUUUAUCAUUUUCUGUAAUUCAGGCUUUUUCCCUCUGAAAUACCAUUUUCUGUCUGUGCACUAGGAAGCCACAGGGCUUUCCAAAUUUCAUCUGUCUGGGUUCUUGUCAUGAUGGCAGUACUGCAGAGUGUUGACAAUUUUUAGGGACUCCUCUGAGAUGACAGCAACCCCUCAAAUUCAGGAGCACUUCUCUAACUGAUAACAUCUCGCAUGAAAUGGAGUUUUUAAAAUGUAACAGCCUCAGAUGCUUAAUGAUGCCAUAAAUGCAAGGAUGUUAUAUCUAAGCUCUUUAA